GAGAGCCCGGGGGGGCGAGUUAGGGAUGGACCCGACUCAAAGGCAAAGACCCAGCCCCACAGCAGACACAGCACCGGUCCCGCAGGGGCUGGGCCAGCGGGCUCGGCAACGUCCCUCGCGCCCCAAAAACCUCCCCAAGUUGGGCAGGAAGGGGAGAGCGUCGGUGCCCCAAACCCACCCGAAUUGUUGGGCAGGAACUGGAGAGUGUUGGUGCCCCAAAACCUCCCGAAUUGUUGGGCAGGAACUGGAGAGUGUUGGUGCCCCAAAACCUCCCAAAUUGUUGGGCAGGAACUGGAGAGUGUUGGUGCCCCAAACCCACCCGAAUUGUUGGGCAGGAACUGGACAGUGUUGGUGCCCCAAACCCACCCGAAUUGUUAGGCAGGAACUGGAGAGUGUUGGUGCCCCAAAACCACACCCAACUGGGACAUGAAAAGGUGAUCAUUAACAACCCAAAACCACCUCAUUUUGGGUAGAAACUAGAGUGUGUUGGUCCCCCCAAACCCACCCGAAUUGUUGGGCAGGAACUGGAGAGUGUUGGUGCCCCAAACCCACCCGAAUUGUUGGGCAGGAACUGGACAGUGUUGGUGCCCCAAACCCACCCGAAUUUGUGCAAGAAAUGGAGA